rnacentral:RNase_P_RNA from 1 species
GCGGAUGGCCGGACGGCCGCGGGUCCUCGGAUCCGAGGAAAGUCCGGACUCCAUGAGGCAACGGUGCCGGGUAACGCCCGGCCGGGGCAACCCGAGGGAAAGCGCCACAGAGAAGAGACCGCCCAAGCCGCAAGGCGCGGGUAAGGGUGAAACGGUGGGGUAAGAGCCCACCGCGGGACGGGCAACCGGACCGGCAAGGCAAGCCCCACCGGGAGCAAUGCCGAAUAGGGGCCUCGCGCGGGCAUGAUCGGCUCUCGCCGAUAUCGCCGCAGGGACGUCUCAGCCCAGAGGCCCGGGUUGGCAGCUCGACCCCGCCGGUAACGGACGGGGCAGAUGAAUGGCCGUCGAAGGGGGCAACCCCGGAACAGAAUCCGGCUUACAGGCCAUCCGCGCAA